rnacentral:rRNA from 1 species
GAUGAACGCUAGCUGGAGGCUUAAUACAUGCAAGUCGAGCGGGAUUGGGUAGCAAUACCCAUGAGAGCGGCGCACGGGUGAGUAACGCGUACACGACCUACCUCUAACAGGGGGAUAGCCCUGGGAAACUGGGAUUAAUACCGCAUAUAAUUCUGAAUAAUAAAGGUUUGGAAUGAAAGCUGAGGUGGUUAGAGAUGGGUGUGCGUCUGAUUAGCUAGUUGGUAGGGUAACGGCCUACCAAGGCGAUGAUCAGUAGGGGGCGUGAGAGCGUGGUCCCCCACACGGGUACUGAGACACGGACCCGACUCCUACGGGAGGCAGCAGUAAGGAAUAUUGGUCAAUGGGCGAAAGCCUGAACCAGCCAUCCAGCGUGCAGGAAGAAGGCCCUAUGGGUUGUAAACUGCUUUUAUCAGGGAAGAAACCUCUGGAUUUACUCCGGAGCUGACGGUACCUGAAGAAUAAGCACCGGCUAACUCCGUGCCAGCCGCCGCGGUAA